rnacentral:rRNA from 1 species
UACGGAGGGUGCGAACGUUAAUCGGAAUCACUGGGCGUAAAGCGCGCGUAGGCGGUCCGUUAAGUGGGAUGUGAAAUCCCCGGGCUUAACCUGGGAAUUGUACUUCAAACUGGCGGACUAGAGUGCGGUAGAGGGAGGUAGAAUUUCCUGUGUAGCGGUGAAAUGCGUAGAUAUAGGAAGGAAUACCAGUGGCGAAGGCGGCCUCCUGGAUCGACACUGACGCUGAGGCGCGAAAGCGUGGGGAGCAAACAGGG